rnacentral:rRNA from 1 species
UACGUAGGUGGCGAGCGUUGUCCGGAUUUACUGGGCGUAAAGAGCGCGCAGGCGGUCGUACAAGUCGAAUGUGAAAGCCCCCGGCUCAACUGGGGAGGGUCAUUCGAUACUGUUCGACUCGAAGGCAGGAGAGGGAAGUGGAAUUCCCGGUGUAGUGGUGAAAUGCGUAGAUAUCGGGAGGAACACCAGUGGCGAAGGCGACUUCCUGGCCUGUUCUUGACGCUGAGGAGCGAAAGCCAGGGGAGCAAACGGG